rnacentral:rRNA from 1 species
GACGAACGCUGGCGGCGUGCUUAACACAUGCAAGUCGAACGAUGAACCCGGAGCUUGCUCUGGGGGAUUAGUGGCGAACGGGUGAGUAACACGUGAGUAACCUGCCCUGGACUCUGGGAUAAGCGUUGGAAACGACGUCUAAUACCGGAUAGGACCUUGGAUCGCAUGAUCUGGGGUGGAAAGUUUUUUCGGUCUGGGAUGGACUCGCGGCCUAUCAGCUUGUUGGUGAGGUAAUGGCUCACCAAGGCGUCGACGGGUAGCCGGCCUGAGAGGGUGACCGGCCACCCUUGGACUGAGGCACGGGCCAGACCCCUACGGGGGGGAGCAGUGGGGAAUAUUGCACCAUGGGCGAAAGGCUGAUGGAGCAACGCCGCGUUCGGGAUGACGGCCUUCGGGUUGUAAACCGCUUUUAGUAGGGAAGAAGGGCUUCGGCUUGACGGGAACUGCAGAAAAAGGACCGGCUAACUACGUG